GGAGGAUGCGAGCGNNAUCCGGACNNANNGGGNNUAAAGGGAGCGCAGACGGGAGAUCAAGNCAGUCGUGAAAGNNUGCGGCNCAACCGUAAAAUCGCAGUCGAUACUGGUNUCCUNGAGUGCAGUNGAGGCAGGCGGAAUUCGUGGUGUAGCGGUGAAAUGCUUAGAUAUCACGAAGAACCCCGAUUGCGAAGGCAGCUUGCUAAACUGUAACUGACGUUCAUGCUCGAAAGUGUGGGUAUCAAACAGGAUUAGAUACCCUGGUAGUCCACACGGUAAACGAUGGAUACUCGCUGUUGGCGAUAUACUGUCAGCGGCCAAGCGAAAGCAUUAAGUAUCCCACCUGGGGAGU
rnacentral:rRNA from 1 species